rnacentral:rRNA from 1 species
AGAGUUUGAUCAUGGCUCAGGAUGAACGCUGGCGGUAUGCUUAACACAUGCAAGUCGUACGAAGAUAAAAUUGUGCUUGCACGAUUUUAUACUUAGUGGCGGACGGGUGAGUAACACGUAAGAAUCUACCUUUUGGCGAGGGACAACCACUGGAAACGGUGGCUAAUACCUCAUAUAACUGAGAAGUGAAAGAUGAAAAUCACCAAGAGAUGAGCUUGCGUCUGAUUAGCUAGUUGGUAAGGUAAAGGCUUACCAAGGCGACGAUCAGUAGCUGGUCUGAGAGGAUGAUCAGCCACACUGGGACUGAGACACGGCCCAGACUCCUACGGGAGGCAGCAGUGAGGAAUUUUCCGCAAUGGGCGAAAGCCUGACGGAGCAAUACCGCGUGAAGGAUUAAGGCCUAUGGGUUGUAAACUUCUUUUCCCAGAGAAGAAUUUUGACGGUAUCUGAGGAAUAAGCAUCGGCUAACUCUGUGCCAGCAGCCGCGGUAAG